CGUGAUAAAGUGGCAUCAUACUAACAUCUUUGGUUCAAAAUAAUCAUAUAUGAAGAAAUCUUUAAACAUUUAUACAUUUAUUACUAUUGUUACAAUUGGUAUGCCAUUCAACCCCCUAACAAAAUCAAAAUUACACAAAUCCAAAUGCGUAGUACUUCAAUCUAGAUGAGUACUACAGUAGUUGAGAAGAAGCUAUGCUCAGAUCCACUGUUAUUACCUCUUUCAACCUUCAUUAAAUUCAACUAGGAAUGAAAAGCAAGUGCAAACAUAUGGGUUGUUGGUAAAUUUGCAUAUAGACCCAUAUGAAUUAUUGGACUGAAUUGAUCCCAACAUUGUACCAAUGAUGUAGACAUUAAUCUGUUAACAUAAAAGGAAGGAAUGUUACUUAAGAGGAAUAAUUUCCUUCUUAGAAACAUUACUUGAAUAUCUACUAAGAAAGUGAUACAAGUGAAAAACCAGAGAAGAAUAAGAAGAUAGUAAUAUUGGCAACACAUCAAGGUUGCCAUGAAAAUUGAAGAAUGCAUACAAAUCUAUCAUUAAUG
rnacentral:lncRNA from 1 species